CAAACUUGAGAGUUUGAUCCUGGCUCAGAACGAACGCUGGCGGCAUGCCUAAUACAUGCAAGUCGAACGAGACCUUCGGGUCUAGUGGCGCACGGGUGCGUAACGCGUGGGAAUCUGCCCUUGGGUUCGGAAUAACGUCUGGAAACGGACGCUAAUACCGGAUGAUGUCGAUAAGACCAAAGAUUUAUCGCCCAGGGAUGAGCCCGCGUAGGAUUAGCUAGUUGGUGGGGUAAAGGCUCACCAAGGCGACGAUCCUUAGCUGGUCUGAGAGGAUGAUCAGCCACACUGGGACUGAGACACGGCCCAGACUCCUACGGGAGGCAGCAGUAGGGAAUAUUGGACAAUGGGGGCAACCCUGAUCCAGC
rnacentral:rRNA from 1 species